rnacentral:rRNA from 1 species
AAUAGAUACCCCGGUAGUCCACGCCGUAAACGAUGAGUGCUAAGUGUUGGAGGGUUUCCGCCCUUCAGUGCUGCAGCUAACGCAUUAAGCACUCCGCCUGGGGAGUACGGUCGCAAGACUGAAACUCAAAGGAAUUGACGGGGGCCCGCACAAGCGGUGGAGCAUGUGGUUUAAUUCGAAGCAACGCGAAGAACCUUACCAGGUCUUGACAUCUCCUGACCGCCCUGGAGACAGGGUCUUCCCUUCGGGGACAGGAUGACAGGUGGUGCAUGGUUGUCGUCAGCUCGUGUCGUGAGAUGUUGGGUUAAGUCCCGCAACGAGCGCAACCCUUGAUUCUAGUUGCCAGCAUUUAGUUGGGCACUCUAGAGUGACUGCCGGCGAUAAGUCGGAGGAAGGUGGGGAUGACGUCAAAUCAUCAUGCCCCUUAUGACCUGGGCUACACACGUGCUACAAUGGAUGGUACAAAGGGCUGCGAAACCGCGAGGUUGAGCUAAUCCCAAAAAACCAUUCUCAGUUCGGAUUGCAGG